rnacentral:rRNA from 1 species
UACGGAGGGUGCAAGCGUUGCUCGGAAUUAUUGGGCGUAAAGGGUAGGUAGGUGGUCUUAUUUGUCUGGGGUGAAAGCCUUGAGCUUAACUCAAGAAGUGCCCCAGAAACGGUAAGACUAGAGUCCUGGAGAGGGUCGUGGAAUUCCCGGUGUAGCGGUGAAAUGCGUAGAGAUCAGGAGGAACACCCGUGGCGAAGGCGGCGCUCUGGGUCGGCCCUGACGCUGAGGCGCGAAAGCGUGGGGAGCGAACGGG